AUAAAAAAUGACAAGAAUCUACAGGUCGAGCAAGUCUCGUAAAUUUCACGAUUGCGAGCCACGCUUCACGCAACCGUGUUUGCGUACUUGUGUUUCGAGUUGCGUGGUCGUGCGGAGUUAUAUUUACCAAAUUUAAAUAUAAUCGUUUCUUUUCUGAUUCAUAAUAAUAUAUGUCAAUAUGGCUACUGGGUGUAAAAGAUAAAUCUUAUUCUAUCUGUUCUGAGUUCUGAGUUUUAGAUAAUUUUAGUUGUAUUUCUUUGUAAUUUUGUGUUGUACAAAGAUUAAUUUAACAUUUUCUCUGGAAGUAUUAAUUUAGAAAGAUAAUAUGCUUCAUUGGUGUUGUGUUUUGAAGUAGUGUGAAAUGCAAAGUAAUUGUGAUAGAGUCAAGAUAAAGUUCACUUUUAAACUGAACUAAAUAAGGUAUCUGAGAGACAACAAUGGUUAAAUGCAAUACAAUGUACAGGUUUUACUAGCGAAAUGAAAAUUUUCCUGUCCUGUCUGCUGUAAUCAUUUUAUAUCUGGUAAGUUACAAUUACAACAGUAACGAUUUUUGAAGAUGUUAACAUUUUAAUCUUGUAGGAAAACCAGCCGACUUAAUCGAUAAUAACAAUCUCCAGAUUGGGUUCCUUCAAUAAAUAUGGGCUAUAAACACAAUGAAAUAAGUUCCCCAAAAUCUAAAAUGGAGUGGUAUCAAAGGAGAAUUAAAGGAAAAAAUAUUCAUAUUGAAAUUAUUUAUAAGGCACUGGACUGUCUUAAAUUCUACAACAAUACUAGAAUCAGCUGAGAGAAGUGGUCUACAAAAAACCAGGAAGGAAACGGAAUAUGUGGCUACGAAAGGCAAAAGAAAGGUUUACAAAGCAAAUGUGACACAUUUUUUUGAAAUAUUUAGGAAUAUCAGUAAAUUGCAUUAAAAAAAUGUAUGAAAAGAUUUUGUUCAAUAAAAAUGUUUAUAUUUA